AAAGUCGUAACAAGGUUUCCGUAGGUGAACCUGCGGAAGGAUCAAUACAGAGGAGAGAGAGAGGAAUAAGUGGAAAAAAGAUGAGAAAUUUCUAGACAACAUACAACUACAAACAUUUACACAACUCAUAACAAUGGAUCUCUGGGCUCUU
rnacentral:misc_RNA from 1 species